CCGGGCGCGGCGGGGGAGGGGAAGGGAGCAGAGGCGAAGGGGAAACUCUUUUUCGGAUGAGUCUACCGAGGCGCGCCUGCAUUUUUUUUUUUUUUAGUCGCGCGCCCGGUCGGGUUCGAACCCGGGGUCUUGGAGCGCGUGGGUUACGGUCGCGUUUCUGACGUCGGCUUUGCGACCUGCGGCCGCUCACUUCGUCUCUUCCUAUCUCGGUUUCCACCUUUGUGAAAAUUGAAAUAGCGCUUCGCCCACGUGCGUAAGUAAGUUUGAAGCCCUGAAAAAACCAAGAAGGCUUGAUUACUUACAUUGGCAAUGUUAAUGCAGAUAUCUCUUCUAUAUUUUCUGUCCCUGUGAGUCACAGAACAGUGUAAAACACAUGGCUCAUGUAAAAAUCUUAACCUUCCCUGUCUAAGGGGUAUAUGGCUUCAGAUGUAGUCUAAAGCAGAACUGAACUGAAAAUAUUGCUGUUAUACAGCAGUGUUGUUUGAUUAAUAAAAAGGCCACAAAUGUUGAAAAGGAACUUCUCAAAAUUCAGGAAAAGGGUUAUCUUAAGCUUCUCAAUGUAAUGAGUCCAUAUCUCAUGUACAGCAGAGGUUCCAAUAUGCAUUAUUUGGUUUUUUUUAAAGAGGUCUUGAAGAUUUGCUGUGCUGUAAAACUGUCCAGUACCAAUAUAUACAUAACUUUAUUAGAAAAUUUGAGACCUAGCAAGAACCUGUCAAAUAUUUGUUCCAUGGGAGCAAUUGGCAUGAAUGGUAUCAGGGUGAUGACAGAAAGAAUGGUGAGCUGACCCCCCCGCAUCAAAACAUCCUGUCUAAUGCCUCAUUGCUUCAGUGUUUUUUCUACACGUGCAGCCAAAUUCAUGCUGCUAAGAAAGUGCCAUAAGAUACUGUACUGUUACAGCUCCUUUAAGAUCACCCAAGUUAACUUCAUUAAAAGUUGUCUAGGAAUGCAUUUGUCUGUGGUGAGUUGCUGGUAUAAAGAACCCCUUUCAUAAACAAAAGAGGUGGCUUUCAUAAUGUAAAGUGCUAACUUCAUUUAAGAGCAGAAUAGUACAUUUUCCCUGAAUUAUCUGCAGUCGUUCCUUGCUUUCACCUAAUCAUUCUGAAUGUGGUGGUAUACUGCUCUUAAAGGAACAGCACUUUCUCAACAGGCCCUGUCUAGGAAGUGAGAUGAUUAAUUGGAAUACUUGGAUAGCCUUGAUGCAAAGGAAAAUUUAAUCUUGUUCUUGAUUCAUAUUUAGAAGCAAUUGACAAUGGUGGGAAAUCAUCAGGAACUUUCAAGUUCCCCUGUUAGAUUACAACUCUGCUGCUGAACUAUUUCCCUCAUUAUAUUUGAGUGGUGGAUGUUUUAAUUCACCAAUAGUUCUGUCUAACAUGCUGUUGCCUUGGCUGCAUUGCCUGGGUUAUUGCAAGACAAAAUGCUAGGCCAUUCCUAUUACAGGAUUCAGUCCCUAGUUGCAACUAGAAAACUCAAUUUUGGCCAUCUGUGAAAGAAUAGUAAUUCAAAUUUAGAUUCUUGUUCUUAUCUUCACACAUCCAAUUUAUCUUCAGUGCUGAUAAUUUUACAGAUGAAGUAUGAAAAUUAAUUGUCAAAGAACUGGUUGGCUUCCUUCCUUCCCCCUCCCCCCCCCCUUGGCCCUUCAUGUUUUAAUCAGAACAAUAAGUUAAUCCACCAUGUUGAAUUGUGAGUGUUUAAAAAUAUUCAUCACUUCCUUGUAACUUUUUUUGUGGGGAGGGAGGGAGAGUUGCUUUUUAUUGCCACUAAUGGCUGAUUUCAGGUGUUUGGGAAAGUGAUUGCAAAGUAUUUUAUUCUGUAAGGUAUACGUUUAGGAAGCCUUAAUAUAGGUCCAAAUAUUUGAAAUUCAGCAAUGGUACUUUCAUAGAAGUAGAUAUCCAUCUAUCUUGGUUAGUCCUCCCUAACCACAAUAUAUCAGUAAAAAACAGUAUCCACAUCUGUUAUUUUUGGGUUCUUAUCCUCUGUUGUUGCUAAUCACAAAGUUGUGUUUACGCUAUAUACUGUACCUGUAACAAGUUCUAAAGAGAAUGUCUCCAUAAUGCCAGGGAAGUGAUUACUGGUAUGGGAUAUAAAUUUCAAAUGACUACAUUUUGAGAUCCUAUGAUUGUAACUAAUACCUUGCCCUUCUAUAUCACAUUUCAUUCAAGAAUCUCAAAACACUCUUUGUAUUAACCCUCAUAAAACCUUUGGAAAGUAUUAUCAUGCCUUAUCAGUUUUGGGGGGAAACAGAAGUGUAGAAAAUGAAGAUGUAGGUAUAGAAAUUUUUAACGGAAAGACUUAUUCUGUCUUUUGGAAAUACUUGUGGUCCCCAUCAUUGUGUUAUCCGUGCCUCACAAUCUCUAAUGUAGUUAGGCUUGCUUAUGUUAUUGUGAAAGAGGAAUUACUGUUACUCCCAUUUUACAGAUGAGAACUGAGACAUGUAGAGACUAAGGUGACUUAUUCAAGCUCACAGCAGAAGUCUGUGACAGCUCCCAAGUCUCAGCCUAGUGCCCUAACAACCACUGCUUUUCCUCCCUUUGCACACUUGGAAACUUGAUAGCUAGAUGGGAUCCAAAAGGUCCAGGUAGAUCUGUUUCUAUGAUAACUUAGAAUGGAUUUAGAUAGGUGGAUAGUCUCUGUUGCAUAUUGUUCACUUAAAGGUACAAACCUUUCAGGGAAUAGUAUUAGUGACUGCAUCUCUUUUUUUAACGGAGAAAUAUUUUUUGAAAAGUAUUUCUAGCCUUUGGCCUCAGCAGUUAAAAUUUACCUUACCUACUGAAACGAAUAUUAAUCGCUUUGUUGUAAAAAGUGAUGUUCUGGUUCUUGCGUGAACAGUGUUAAGGCAAGAUUCAGACAAUUCAGUAAUAAUUUUUUAAAUAUGCAGGUGAAGAGAUUCUGCCUAAUUUGUUUAAAUAUUUACAGUUUCUUACUUAAAAUCCAAGUAACAUACUUUAGUUCAGUUUAAUCAUUCUUCUGAGAAUUUAGACAGAUUCCAAAAAAUAAUCUCAAAGUAUAAACACUUUAUUAGAACUCAUAAUAAAUAAUACUUGUUUUUUGGUAUCUUAGGGCCAGAUCCUGGUAGUUCAGAGUAAGCUGUAAUUACACAUAUGAAAGCAGAAUUUGUAUCUUAAUGAUCACUUCCCAAGUGGUGCUUACAUAAAAUUUAUGCUUUUUCCCCUGUUUAUUUUCUGAUGUUUCACUUUCUCAUUCAGAACACUUGGGAACUAAACUAUCCACUUUACAUGCUGGAUUAGGUUUAUAUUCAGCUAAGGGGAAAAGAAACCAAUAAGGGCUGGAGCCUGCAGUCCUUAUGCAAAUAUUGUGCUGUGCCGUCGCAAGAUCAUUGGGUCCGGCCCAAGGGGCAAGAAGUCAGCUGGGGUCAAAGGAUCCCAGCAAGAUAAGCAUCCAAAUAUUUCUUAAGAGUCCAGAGUAGGUGUUUGCACCACCUCUGGCGGGAGUCUAUUCCAGGUUUGGGGGUUCAGACAGUAAAGAAGUUUUUCCUUAUGUCAAUAUUUUGUUACUUACCACAGUUUUCUGGAAGUAACCACAAUCAAACCUGAUAAAUAGUAUUGCAAAGUUCUGUGUUAUUUUUUUUCCCAGUAAAAAGUUUCAGUACAUUUUUUAAGCAGAGGCAAUGUUGGUAUAUGAUCCAUCAUUCCUCUUCUCUCUUUCUCCCCCCCCCCCCCCACCCCUCCAUUUAUCUAAAAUUUCACUUCUUACAAUGCACACCAGGUAUGUUAUCUAUGACAUUCUCUGCCUGAUUCCUGUGAGCAGCAGUUUGCACCAUGUUCUCUUCAGGGAGGAGGACUAUACUCUGUUCCUAAAGCAUGGUGUGAGGUUACAGCUAGGUACUCUGCAUAAUUAUAGCAGUGCUAUUAAGAGUCUGAUGGCGCUUCCAGUUUAACUCCCUGUAUUUCUCAGGGCCUGAGCUGAGACAUACAAAACUUGCCUUGGGCUGAAACUUGGCAUACAAGAUCUCAGUGUGGGUGGGGUUUUUUUUCUUUUAAAGAAAUUGAAAGAAAUCAACUCCAUUUGCAUUUCAAGGCAAACCAAAACAACUUGUAGGCUGACUGUUUCUCAACCCUAACCCACCCUCCUCUGUCCCUUUACCCCCUUCCCACUCUUUACACUAAGUCUGUUUAAACAAUUUGUCUGGAUUGCAGAUUUGGGUACCGUAGAGAAAAUUAAUUCCUGCUUAAUUUUAAUUUAUCAACCUCAUUCUUUGCUAAAUGCAUUUUGGCCCAGUAGUAGUUGUCAUUCAGAGUGAAUAUACUGCAUAUCCGUCUGUCCCACUGUUCACAGCAACAUUUGGGUGUGUACAAUUGUAAGCAUUCUUUUUAAAACGUUUUUAAUAUUUCAAAGCAACUAAGUUACCAUAUGAGAUCCUGGUUUCCUCUGUUUAAAAAUCCCAAAUUCUCUCAUUAAAACCCACCAAAUCUGCUUUUUUCCGUUACUAAAAUGAAACGCCAUUAUAUAUAUAGGUAUCAGUUGAACACAAUGUUUUAUUUGUAUAUUUACAAUUUUAAAGCAGUUUGGAAGCCUCCCAGUGCCUCAAUCAUUAUAAUAAAAUAAAUUCUAAAUGCCUAUA